rnacentral:sRNA from 1 species
CUGCAAUUACCGCAAGGCCUUUGCCGACUGCGAUGGCUUCAAAAUCCCCAUCCUUGGAGUACACUUGAAAGACUUGAUAGCAGUCCAUGUCAUUUUCCCAGACUGGACAGAGGAGAAUAAAGUGAACAUUGUGAAAAUGCACCAGCUCUCCGUUACCCUGAGUGAACUAGUCUCCCUGCAGAAUGCCUCUCACCACUUAGAACCCAACAUGGAUUUGAUCAACCUGCUCACGCUUUCCCUGGACCUCUAUCACACUGAAGAUGAUAUUUACAAACUGUCACUGGUGCUGGAGCCUAGAAAUCCUAAAUCGCAGCCUACCUCCCCUACGACGCCCAACAAGCCUGUGGUGCCCCUGGAGUGGGCAUUAGGGGUGAUGCCAAAGCCAGACCCCACGGUCAUCAACAAGCACAUAAGGAAAUUAGUGGAGGUAAGUGGUUGAGGGAGAAUAAAGAGAGGGCACUAGAAGACCCUUUCUCUUUCCAGAAUAUUCCGCGAUUGUCCAGGAAUCUGAUGGAACCCAUGCAAACAACCCUCUGGCAGCUAGGAACAAUUUAGCAGGCACUUAG